rnacentral:rRNA from 1 species
CCUACGUGUGACUGCAGUGGGGAAUAUUGCACAAUGGGGGGAACCCUGAUGCAGCGACGCCGCGUGAGUGAAGAAGUAUUUCGGUAUGUAAAGCUCUAUCAGCAGGGAAGAUAAUGACGGUACCUGACUAAGAAGCCCCGGCUAACUACGUGCCAGCAGCCGCGGUAAUACGUAGGGGGCAAGCGUUAUCCGGAUUUACUGGGUGUAAGGGGUGCGUAGGUGGCAGGGCAAGUCAGAUGUGAAAGCCCGGGGCCCAACCCCGGUACUGCAUUUGAAACUGUCCGGCUGGAGUGCAGGAGAGGUAAGCGGAAUUCCUAGUGUAGCGGUGAAAUGCGUAGAUAUUAGGAGGAACACCAGUGGCGAAGGCGGCUUACUGGACUGUAACUGACACUGAGGCACGAAAGCGUGGGGAGCAAACAGGAUUAGAUACCCCUGUAGUC